UACGUAGGCAGCGAGCGUUGUUCGGAGUUACUGGGCGUAAAGAGUGCGUAGGCGGUUUUCUAAGUUUGGUGUGAAAUCUCCCGGCUUAACUGGGAGGGUGCGCCGAAGACUGGAAGGCUUGAGUAUGGGAGAGGUAAGCGGAAUUCCCGGUGUAGUGGUGAAAUGCGUAGAUAUCUGGAGGAACACCGGUGGCGAAGGCGGCGUCCUGGACCAACACUGACACUGAGGAGCGAAAGCCAGGGGAGCAAACGGG
rnacentral:rRNA from 1 species